UCUUGAAUGUAAUAGAAUCGGGAAUAUUUCAGAACUUGAGAAAUAUAAGUACUUGGUAUCACGCACACAUCCUGGCAGCUCGCGGUGGAUUACUACAACUCGUCUAGUGCCCACGCCAACCAUCACCACGCCGGACGCAGCUCUUCACACUCAGCAGACCCACUGCCCUCGUGCAUCACGCUGAGGUCAUCCCCCGCCUGGAUGAAAGGAGAUGACAGGAGGAGCAAUGUGGAAGACACGCGUGGUAUUCGUCACUGUUUUCACCUGCGUCUUCCUGACCAGCCAUGCUUGUCAAAUCGAGAGCACAACAAGUAGAAGAGACAUCCAUGCAGAUAACGGAGAUAUUAACCAAGGACAGAGAAAAGUAAGGAUCGAUAUCUGUGCUGAAUCCAAUUAUGUAACCUUCACGGCGAGUCACCUUGAUCUCAGUAAGGACCAGUUUAGAUACAAGUUAGACUUCCUCGCGUGUGAUUAUGACACAAAAUCCAGUAACUGGGAAGACUGGAAGAGAAACAGGCUACGCAUGAGAAUUCAGGCACGCACUUACACCAAUGUGACUUUCCAAAUACGAGAAAAGACCACCGGCAAAAUAAUAGCAACAAAUUCUACAGUCACCCCUGCUACAGGCAGUCUAAGAGAAGUACGUGAAUAAAUGCAACAACGUAUGUAAUCUUGAUGCAAGUCCCUUAUAACUACCUUAGUCGUGUGUUCUCACCCCAACAGAACCUGAAGCUAGGGUGAGAAGUCUUCAGGUGUGAUUCCAGAAGAUGCACAGCUACCGUGGAAAACAAUUGCGUUAAAUAUAAUGGUUACAAUAUGAAAGUGCAAUUCAUUCUGAAGCCAUCGAGUAAGAAAGUCAAGAAUCCCCUCGUUAAAUACGGUGCCGUCAAUUCUGAGGGAAGAGCAACGAUAGCAUUAAAAGAUCUGCUGCCCUUUACGAACUACACCGUAACCGCCAACCCUGCCAACGACGUGGGCGCCGCCACCGACCCCUCCCUCACCAAAGAAACCUCCUUCAUCGCAAUUUCCCAAUGCUAUUGGAAUCCAAGGACUAGGGCAGAGAUCGACGCAAAAACAACCCUGCGCUUCACUUGGAACGGACUUCGGAGUAACAAUGACAACCCUGGUUACUACACACUCACAUUCUUGGAUGUGAAAAAUGUCACCGAUACUGAAAUCAAAUUUGCUCACCUGACUCCAGGCAAAAAGUACACGUUAGAAGUGAAGGGGUGCUUUACAACAGUGCACUGUGACAUACUGACGACACUUGAAGAAUGGACGGAACCAGAGAAGCCACGAGUGCUGGAAAAAACAGAACUCCAGACAACAACAGACACCACCAUCACCAUCCAGCUGCCCGUCCUGCAGAACCCUCCAGGAAUGCACUGGAUAUUGCUGAGGAAAUACAGCGGCGGCGGCGACGAACAUCACACAAGGAAGCAAGACACUGAGAAGAAAGCACUGGUAAUGGUUCGCACAGAAAGGGCGAAGGAAAGGAAGGAGGCGCAGGCAAGGAGGAGGAAUCGUCGUUCCGCUGAUCCAGGAGGAAAACGAUCACUCGUUGCGAAUUGUGGCUAAGAUCGAGGUGGUGGAGGAAAAGGACCCCGAGGAGUUAGUGGUGGUGGGAGGCGACUGGCAUGGAGGGAAGGGUCUGGAAAGCGACACUGAGUACAUUGUGUUCAUAGUGACGGAGACCAGGGCAGGUCCCUACAGUGAAUACUUCUCGUGCAAGCCAAGGAUUAUGAGGACAGCGAAACGGCCUAAAGAGCCCGCUUUUCUGGGGAUGACCGUGGGCCUGUGUUCUGCUGCGCUCUUCCUCAUUUGCUUCAUUGCAGCACUGGUGGUGAAACUUAAGAAAUCAAGGUCUCUUGUUGUGACACAGGCAGCAGCUUCCGGAAAAGAGUCGUUGUAACCCAGUCAACAAGGAAGGUAAGGCAUGAAGACAGGAUCAUGCGGACCAUAACUAAGGCCAGCAUUCAGAGACCCUUUGUUCUCUCACCACAGCGACUGAGGUACUGUCAAAGAAGACUACGAUAUGUUAAGACAAGUAGAAUCUACCUGCCAGAUACUAUAUAAUGGUUUAGGGAAUAGACCUUCUGUAUUAGAUAGCUAGUAUACUCAAUAAUUUUGCUCUGUAUUGAUAUCUCUGUUUCCUUAUUCUUGAAAUAAUGAAUAAAAUGCUCAGCAAGCUAUAUUCUCUGUUGUCCGUCGUAGCAAACGAUGCUGUAGUGAUUCUUUGCUCGAUGGAUUCUGUUACUACGAAACCGAGUCUUUUGUAUUGAUUCGAGUCUGUACUGGUGAUGGGUAACAAUAAACCUGGUAACUGCCA